rnacentral:rRNA from 1 species
UACCGGCAGCCCGAGUGAUGGCCGAUCUUAUUGGGCCUAAAGCGUCCGUAGCUGGCCGCGCAAGUCCAUCGGAAAAUCCACCCGCUCAACGGGUGGACGUCCGGUGGAAACUGCACGGCUUGGGACCGGAAGGCGGGACGGGUACGUCCGGGGUAGGAGUGAAAUCCCGUAACCCUGGACGGACCGCCGAUGGCGAAAGCACGUCGCGAGAACGGAUCCGACAGUGAGGGACGAAAGCUAGGGUCUCGAACCGG